UAGACCUCGCAGGACUGACGGAUAAAGUGGAAUCAACCACGUGUACUGCGAUGCCAUAGAAACAGCCGACCGUCUGGGCAGAGAGA
rnacentral:ncRNA from 2 species